rnacentral:rRNA from 1 species
AACGAACGCUGGCGCCAGGCUUAACACAUGCAAGUCGAACGCUCGUGGCAACACGGGAGUGGCAGACGGGUGAGUAACGCGUGGGAACCUACCUCAUGGUGCGGAAUAACGCAGGGAAACUUGUGCUAAUACCGUAUGUGCCCUUCGGGGGAAAGAUUUAUCGGUAAAGGAUCGGCCCGCGUUGGAUUAGCUAGUUGGUGGGGUAAAGGCCUACCAAGGCGACGAUCCAUAGCUGGUCUGAGAGGAUGAUCAGCCACAUUGGGACUGAGACACGGCCCAAACUCCUACGGGAGGCAGCAGUGGGGAAUAUUGGACAAUGGGCGCAAGCCUGAUCCAGCCAUGCCGCGUGAGUGAUGAAGGCCUUAGGGUUGUAAAGCUCUUUCACCGGGGAAGAUAAUGACGGUACCCGGAGAAGAAGCCCCGGCUAACUUCGUGCCAGCCGCCGCCGUAACAC